UAAAGGUCCCCGUUUAAUUGC
rnacentral:piRNA from 1 species